UGUCCAUUAUUCUGACGGGACAGAGCCGAAGCUAAUACCUCACACCCGCGCAAAAACGCAAGAGGCGUGAACCUCCGCUGCGGAGAGAUAAGACCACCCAUCGUUUUGCCGACACCUCUAAUCCCAGGGCAUAGAGAGCCAACUGUACGUCAGUCUCGACAGAAAGAAAGCACCGCUUACGUAAUUUCCGCCCUCCGGCUUGUCCCGAUAUGAGGCAGGCAGAUGCUCAAGGUAUAGUGCCUGAAAGAAGAAGUGCGGGGUAGGUUCGCGUCCAGCUAGUGGAAGAUAAUAGGUCGGCCCCCAGCGUAUCCCCGGAGUGAGGGCGCAGUAAAGAAGUAGGUAAGCGGGUGCGUCAAUUCUGUGUGAAACCGUCGAGAUUCGCCCUUAUCCUUAGAUCAGCUACGGCCGAGUCGAGUUUCCUAGGCGCCUCCUGAAGUUUCUGGUGUAGAGCUGGAGGGGCAGACUGAGGAGGAACACCGAUGUCGAAGGCAGGUCACUGGGCGCCACUGACGGUGAGGCGCGAAAGCAUGGGAGCGAACAGGAUUAGAUAUCUUAGUCGUCCAUCCCGUGAACGUUGGGCACUAGGUGUGGGGUUCAUUACACGAGGUGCGCGCCGCAGCUAACGCAUUAAGUGCCCCGCUUGGGGAGUACGGCCGCAAGGCUAAAACUCAAAGGAAUUGACGGGGGCCCGCACAAGCGGCGGAGCAUGCGGAUUAAUUCGAUGCAACGCGAAGAACCUUACCAAGGCUUGACAUACACCGGAAUCAUGCAGAGAUGUGUGCGUCUUCGGACUGGUGUACAGGUGGUGCAUGGUUGUCGUCAGCUCGUGUCGUGAGAUGUUGGGUUAAGUCCCGCAACGAGCGCAACCCUCGUCCUAUGUUGCCAGCACGUUAUGGUGGGGACUCAUAGGAGACUGCCGGGGUCAACUCGGAGGAAGGUGGGGAUGACGUCAAAUCAUCAUGCCCCUUAUGUCUUGGGCUUCACGCAUGCUACAAUGGCCGGUACAAAGGGCUGCGAUACCGCGAGGUGGAGCGAAUCCCAAAAAGCCGGUCUCAGUUCGGAUUGGGGUCUGCAACUCGACCCCAUGAAGUCGGAGUCGCUAGUAAUCGCAGAUCAGCAACGCUGCGGUGAAUACGUUCCCGGGCCUUGUACACACCGCCCGUCAAGUCACGAAAGUCGGUAACACCCGAAGCCGGUGGCCUAACCCCUUGUGGGAUGGAGCCGUCGAACGGUGUAUGACGGGAAGUCG
rnacentral:rRNA from 1 species